GGAUUGAACUCACAACCUAGGUAUGUGCCCUGACUGGAAAUCAAACCCACCACCUUUUGUUGUACAGGAUGACACUAAAACCAACAGCCACUGGCCAGGGCUCAGUAUUUUUUAUUGAGAUUUCCUGGGGAAAAGGGGAGACUACAGUAUUGACUGCUGAAUUGGGAAUUUAAAGCAGAAAAUGAGAACAAUUAGAUUUUUAAAAUUGCAUUGGGAAUAUAAAAUUUUAUCUUUUUCUCAGGUAUAUUAAAAAUAUUAAAUAAAAAAUUUAAUAAGACAUUAAAAUUUUGACUAUGAAAAAAAUUUAACCUAAUUCUAAAAGUUGAGAUUAAGGGAUAAGAGUGUGAUGUAUAUGUGAUUACAAAACUCAACUAUGUUUUCUCUAUUAUCAAUAAGAACUCUACUUUUAAUUUUUUUCUGUGAUAAUUUAUUUCAGCUUCAUGGAGAUUUCUGACCAAAUUGAGGAACUCUAUCUUGGGUGUACCUAAAUGUGCCUGAAGAUGAAUCAGGACAAGAUUCCUUUCUCCCACCUGUAUUUUGAAUACAUACAAUUACUCAUAGAUUUGGAUUUUUGUUUAAGUUUUCCUGUCACACUCUUCACUGUGUCUCAGAACCUAUUUGAUGGAAGUGCUAUCGUGAAGAAGUGAACUUGCCAAAAGGCACGUGGCAUGAAAGCAGACAAAAGAAGUAAUGGGCCAAUAAAAUUGGUAAUUUCUGAACGAAGGAAGUCUCUUCAAA